AUUGAACGCUGGCGGCAGGCUUAACACAUGCAAGUCGAGCGGUAACAGACAGAGCUUGCUCUGUGCUGACGAGCGGCGGACGGGUGAGUAACGCGUAGGAAUCUGCCCAGUAGCGGGGGAUAGCCCGGGGAAACCCGGAUUAAUACCGCAUACGCCCUACGGGGGAAAGCAGGGGAUCUUCGGACCUUGCGCUAUUGGAUGAGCCUGCGUCGGAUUAGCUUGUUGGUGGGGUAAAGGCCCACCAAGGCGACGAUCCGUAGCUGGUCUGAGAGGAUGAUCAGCCACACUGGGACUGAGACACGGCCCAGACUCCUACGGGAGGCAGCAGUGGGGAAUAUUGGACAAUGGGGGCAACCCUGAUCCAGCCAUGCCGCGUGUGUGAAGAAGGCUUUCGGGUUGUAAAGCACUUUCAGUGAGGAGGAAAUGCCUGGGGCGAAUAGCUUCGGGUUUUGACGUUACUCACAGAAGAAGCACCGGCUAACUCCG
rnacentral:rRNA from 1 species